rnacentral:lncRNA from 10 species
AUACUCUGUUCUUAUUUAAUCCUCUCAAUGGCCUGAAGAGAUAGAUAAUCAUACUCUCAACUUUCAAAUGAAGAGACUAAGGUUCUCAGAGGUGAAAUAGCUUGUCCAAGGUCACGCUGCUGGUAAGAGGCAGAGCCAGGAUAUGGGUCUGUAUGAUUUCAGAAUCUUUUUUUUUUUUUUUUUUGAGAUUGAGUCUUGCUCUGUUGCCCAGGCUGGAGUGUAGUGGUGCGAUCUUGGCUCACUGCAACCUCUGCCUCCUAGGUUCAAGCGAUUCUCCUGCUGCAGCCUCCCGAGUAGCUAGGAUUACAGGUGUGAGCCACCACACCUGGCCAAUUUUUGUAUUUUUAGUAGAGAUGGAGUUUCACCAUGUUGGCUAGGCCAGUCUCGAACUCCUGACCUCAAGUGAUCCACCCGCCUCAGACCCCCUACAUAGCUAGGAUUACAGGCAUGAGCCACUGGGCCUGGCCUUAUUUCAGAAUCUUAACCCUUAAACUCUGACCACAUGCCCUAGUGAGGGAGGCAAGCAUACCCAGAGAGGUCUUAAGAUGCCUGAGGUGCCAGGAGAGCAUGGAGAUGCCUGGGAAAAAGUAUCAUAUACAUUUGGAAACUUGAAAAUUGACAUAUGAUAAUGGACUUUAGGAAAUGAAUGUGUAGAGGAAGAAGUCAGGUGAUGCUGGUGUCCUGGGGACCACUCCACGGAAGGAGAAGACACUGGGAAUAGAAGACCUUUGAAAAUCGUGAUGGGCUUAAAGAUCCCAGCGCAGGUCCCACCACUUAUUCGCUCUCACCUGGCAUCUCAAUCUCUGCAUCUGUAAAAAUGAAGAAAAUAAUCCAUCUCCCUGGAUGACUUCAUGAGAUUUUUUGUAGUCAUCAGUGAGGUACUGUACAUAGACGUGCUGUAAGGACGAAAAGUUCUUCACAAUAGGAUGCAUGGGAAAGCAAGCAGGGAGCAGUGGAGGAGGCUGAACCCAGAACGUGGGCUGAGGAUGCUGGGAGGGAACAGGGUUGGGGGCUGAAUCCUAACAGGAGGAAGCUACUGAGCUGCUUCUGUAAGUUGGGCCUGGAUGGAAACCCUGGAAGCAGUAACUCCAAGAAAGAUUCAAAAGUGGGACAAGAAGAGCAAGAACCAGGAAUGGAAAAACUCCAAGGAACAUGAGUGAAGAGUCCCACUCCAUCCCCCUUCUGACUCCCCAUCUAUCUGCUGAGAGCCACCUCCAGCAUUCAAUAAAACCUUGCACUCAUUCUCUAAGCCCACACAUGAUACAAUUUUUCUGGUGCACUAGGGCAAGAACCCGGGAUACAGAAAGCCCUCUGCCCUUGUGAUAACGCAGAGGGUCUAACUGAGGUGAUGAACACAAGCUGCCGGCAGAUAGCAAAGCUGAAAGAGCGCACUGUAACACACGCCCACUGGGGCUUAGGAGCUGUAAAGACUCAACCCUAGAUGCUGCUGUGGGGUUGGAACCCACGCUCCCCGUGACCUGCCCAUCUGCCUGCUCCCACUAGGGGUCUGAGUAGCAGGCACCGAAGAAGUGAGCCACGCCCUCUUCACACACCCUUUGAGGAGGACAAGGGAACUUUUCCUGUUUCAGAAAGUUGUGUUGAGAAGAAUGGCAAGGCUAACAGGGCAGGUGUCCGGGCGGAGGGGCGGAACUGGCUGUUGGCAUGUGGUGGGGGAGAUGCUUCAUCCGGGUCUUGCAUUUGUUCCCUCUGACACCAGCCUCGAAAAAACAGGACACUCACAGUUCAGGAAACUACCAAGGGUCCAAGGAGAGGCCUUGCUUGGCCGUGGUGUGGUCCUGCAACUCCAGGGCAGACCUAGACUCAUGGGAAAGUCCCUGCUUUGUGAUGAGGCUGAAAGAGGAUGAGUGGGGAGUGGCCGGAAGAAGAAAGGGUGUAACCAGAGACCAGUGUCAACAAGGAAUCUGGCUUGGAACGCUUUUGUCUGCAGCCCUCUUUGGAGCGUGACUUGCUCUUUCAGAGGUCUGUAUUUCUCUACCUGGACUACCCUGAGAGCUAACCCCAGUUAUUGGUCUGGAAGCAACGAAUGAAGGCCGGGGCAGAGCUUGAGGAGGGCAACAUCAUUUUGUCACAGUCGCCAUCAAGAAUCUAGUUGCAGACUGGGCGCUGUGGCUCACGCCUGUAAUCCCUGCACUUUGGGAGCCAAGGUGGGUGGAUCACUGGAGCCCAGGAGCUCAAGAGCAGCCUGGGCAACGUGGUGAAAGCCCAUUUCUACAAAAAAAUGCAAAAAUUAGCAGAGUGUGUUGGUGCAUGCCUGUGGUCUCAAUCUGAAGAAGAAAACAGAAGCAACAUUCAAAUUAACAUCAGUCAACUGAUGGAAUAUUUUAGAUGAAGUAAGAGAAGCCAAGGCAUGUACCCUCAGGCUCUGGGCUUCUCCCUGCAAGGUUGGGAAGAAAUUUGGAGGAGGCAAAGUGGGAGCAAGUCAGAUGGAAGAGACAUUAUGGGUCAGGUGGGUGAGAACUGUGGGAGGGAGGUUCAGGGUGCUCCAUUUAGCAGGUUUUUCAUAGUGCCUGUGCAGUCCAGGGCUCUGAUUUCUGUAAGCAGAACGAUGUCAUUCAUUCUUUUAUUCAUCUAUUUGUUAAGUCAACAUUUAUUGAGAGUCUCUUAUGCUACUCACUGUGCUAGGUGGUAGGGCUCAAAGAUGAAUAAAACGCUGUUUCCUUUUUUUUCAG